rnacentral:lncRNA from 1 species
GUCCCCACAGGGUCCCCAGCUGCCUUUCACUCCCUGCCUGCCUCCCUUGGCACCCCUGGGUGCCUGAGCCCUUCCAGGGGCAGCUGCCCCGUGCAGGAAGCCAGAGGGAUGUGGGGAGUGGGGCUGGAUCCGUGCCACAGGUGGUAUGGACUCUGUGCCAGGGCUGGGCUUGUGGCCAGGGCUGGGGGCUGUGCCAAGCUGGGCUUUGGCCUGGGGCUCUUGGGGAGGGCACAGGGAGGAGUCCUGGCAGGGAUAAAGGCUCUCCUGGCAUGGAGCAGCCUCAGGCAGUGCUGCCCAGUGCAAGAGGAAGAUGAAGGUGGCUGUGCUCAGCGUGGCCCUGCUCUUCUCCAUCCUGCUGUGCCCCCCAGCACAGGCCAAGGCACUCCUGGAAGGAACCCAAGAUGAUCUCCAGAAGGUGAGUGGGCUCCUGGGAUUGGCGGGCAUCCCUUUGGGGAACCUGGGGACAGUUUGGUCCCCCAAUUCCUUGCUGGCACCAGGGACAUCCCAGUGACCAACAAGGUCUCCUGGUCUCUCUGCAGUUGGAUUUAGACAAUGUUGACAUCCUGGAGACACCUCUGGU